UACUCAGGAUAUGGCACAAAGUCGCCGCCAUUUCAAGUCUUUGAUUUGAUGCUCUAACGAAGGUACUGACUUCGUCUUGUUUAUCCUUGACAUAUCUCUUUCUUCCACAGUUUGGUGGCUUGUUGACUGCUGGGAUUGUGGCCUUUUCCGGCUGGCCCGUGUUACAUGGUAGCAUUGCGCGAGGACAAGAAGUUUUCUACCUUGGCACCAUUCCGAGGCUUUGCGUUCAUUGCUGCAUGGGCAACUCUACUUUUUUAAAGAAUUUCAAAUCAUCUUUACUGUCAAUUUGUGGUCAUUCUUCUGCCUUAUCCUACUUAUGGAGAAGCUUUGUCCUUCUUAUGAACUCAAUGUUUUCUCCUCAAAGAUUGCUUAAUAUAUAAAUGUAAUCACCAGAUUAUGUUAGCUACGUGCUUUGCUUGUUGAAUUUGUUGCUGGAAAUAUUAUAUAUAUAAAAAUGGCCAGAUUAAUGUAA